AAACUCUUCCGUUAAUGCUUUAUUUCACUGUUCUUUUUAUUUCAGAAGACGAAUAUUUCUUUGGAUGAAAGCAAAAAUGCAUCUCUUUUUUGCUCACUUUAAUGGGUUGUCAAUUCCCAGAACAUUUGAAGAAUCCAAGAGACAGUUUGGAAAAGGUGGUAAGGGUUAAAUAAGUAAGGUGAUCAUGAUGACAACCAGUUCAGUCCCGGCAUAGCAAACGUCAAUGAGGAAGCAAUGGUUGACUUUGGUAAAUCCUCCAGGUGGGAGCAUUAAUAGGAAGAGUGAUGGAAUGAUAAACCACAGGACUGAGGAAGCCUUGAGGAAUCCAUAAAUAACCAGAAAUUCCACAUCGGACAGGACCACAAAAAAAAGAUCACCUUGACCAAGAAACUAUAAUCUCAGCCCUUCAAAACUUGACUAUAGCUCAAACAUAUAAAACAAGGUUUCUCUUCCUUUUAAUUUUUUUAGUAAAUAAG
rnacentral:lncRNA from 1 species